AGGAAGGAUGUCACUGCAGAAUACAGGACACUCCUUUUAAUUGAAUACUUGUAGCUUUAUGACAAGCUCUCACUACAGUGCUCUUAUUUUUCUCAUUUUGUACAAAAUCAGUGAGACUUCAUCACAACCCGGCACUGUUUUGUAAACUGGUGUUUGAAAAUUGUUAUUUAAACUGACAGCAUUGCUGUGAUGUUCAGAAGGGAGGGCUAAGGUUCCCGCUACUGAUUUUCUGUGGUGAAGUGAAGUGUGGCAAUGGAACAAAGCAGGAAGAGGUUGUGGGACUUGUGUUAGGGAUUGGACAUUACUGGCUGGCUCAGGGGUAGAGUAGAAAAAAUGCAUGCUGUACAGAAAAGAAAGUAAGGCCUGAUCAGUGUGGAUGGGUGGCGGAGGGGGUCACGGGGUCUUCAUAAGUCUGGCUGCUCAAGGGAAAAUGGCUGUUGGUUCUUUUGUUGGCUCUUACAACCUCUUUGAUACAAAUUAUUGGAAUUGUAGGGCUUUGUUUGGUGGGGCUGGCCUGUUGCUGUCCACGUCACACUGUGCAGCCAGCUUCCUUGUUGCAGUGAUUGGAUACUGCCAUUCCCUGUCCUCUGUAAGCACCACUGAUAUUAUCUUCUUCCAGCAAUUUCUACAGAUGAAGUCCCAACUCUGGCCAUGGCCAAAAUUAACUGGAUAAUUCUUUGAAUCUGGCUAAAGUCGAAUCUUUCUCGCAAGAACAAAGAGGAUUUGCUCACUAACCAAUGAAAGAGCCCUACAGACUGUGGGAGACUGACCCAUGCUGGUGACCUACUGACACAUCCUUAACCACCUGGGCUGGAGCAUGAGUUGAUUCAGCAGGAAACCGGGAGGUAAGUGGGAGGGUGGAGGUUGCCAAGCAAUGAGCCUCAGCUAUUGUCUGCACAGCUGUUAAUGGGGCUAAAUCUGAUUUGUGUUUAGCUGAAAGCACUUUGCAAAGGCAGGCGGGAGGCAAAGGUCUGGAGAUGCAGAGGCGUAAAAACCAUAGCUUUUGUUUUUGAGGUUGGACAUUUAGUCCUGGAUAUUUUCCUUGGAUGGCAAAAGAAUCAUUGAAGGUAGACAGUCAUGGGCAGUCCAUCCUGGGUGAAGAGAUUUCUAAGGGUCUUAGGGCCUUGUUAGUAGUAGAUGGUUAUGCAUGUAAUGUGAUGUGAGGAGUGCUCCCAAACAUCUUUUUCUUGAAGUGGAUUAUUAUUAAACUCCAUCAUUAAGGAUCACCCUUUAAGAAACUUCUAAAGCAAUUUAGGAAACAGUUUAUUUAAUAAGCACUCACAUAGCACUUGCUUUGUGCUAGGAACUAAGGGCCUUAUAGAUACUAACACACUUAUUCCUUGUAACAACCCUAUGACGUGGGUAUGAUUUUUAGUAUCCCCAUUUUACAGAUGAGGAAACAGAGAGAGAGUGGCCCAAGAACACACAGCUAGUGAAUGUCAGAGUCAGGACUGUAAACUCAUGCAGUCUGGCUCUGGAGUCUGUGCUCUUCACCAUGAUGCUAUGCUGCCUCUCAUAGCAUAGGACGCUACAUUUGUCUGGGGGAUGUGUAACUCAU